CGGCGAGUGAAGAAGCGGAGAUGUCUUGAUUGAUGGGCUCCAUUAUUUCACAUCGUCAAGAACGAGUGACUGCGAAGCUGCACAUUGGCCGCAAUACGUCAUUCUUUCAACUCGAAAGCUGACGGGGACUUCUUGUUCAAGGUUUUACCACUAGAGGGCGCAGUAGAACAAUAAAAGUCUUCAAUGCAUCGACUCAAGGCUGUGAAGAGGCAGAUCUUGGCUGUCAUGAGCGUCCUAUCAAAGCCAGAGUCCAGCUGGUACUGGCCUUCCCCACAGUCACUUUGCCUUCAAGUGUUUCAUGAAAUGUGACUUGUUCUUAUUUAAUCACAGUGUGUAUGAACUGUACACACUGUGUCUUGCCACCAGCACAUAACAUGAACCGAUCGGCCCUCAGACAAGUUCCAGCAAGCCAUUGGUGUCCCUCAAGCCUGCCUUAUCGCCCUCUUGGCAUCAGACCUUUGCAUCUACUGGACACAGUGUCUGUUCUUUUAUCAAACAUAUGUUGUUUUUCAUGCAUUUUUAUAUAUUCAAACAAAAUCCAUAUUUCCUAAUACACUGUUUUGACAAUUUAUAGUUUGAUGGUUUCAUCUUACCUGAGGGGCAUUGAGAACAAAUUCUGUAAUCACAGAAAAUCACAUUCCAAAUAACCUGUUCAUGUCUAUGUCCCAAUGAGAAAUUUUAAUAUCAAAGGCAAUCUAACCUUUAAUCUUCUACACCCAAUCCAAGUAUAUUUGCUGUUGUUUUAUCGGUCUGAUGUCACGAUAGCUCUGUUUAUUCAAGCACCAAGGGGAGGAGGGGCCCAAUGUGUGUGUGCCAGCAAAAGGGAGGAGUCAUGCACCUGUGAAUGUACACCUGGUUUCCAGAAACAGAUAGAGGGACAUCUGAGCCAGUGAGGAGGCUGAAGAAAACAUAGCGAGAAAAACUAAUUAAAAUUUGAGGAAAAAUACAUCAAUCAGUUCCGGGGCCCAAAGGCCCAAUGACCUCACUUGCCAGACUCGACUGUGUGGAGAACUAAAAACUGAACCAGGGGACAGUGACCUUAACAAGCCGGAUAACAGCAAACUCAACGGACAUACAUUCACCU